GCUCAGAUUGAACGCUGGCGGCAUGCCUAACACAUGCAAGUCGAACGAACCUAGAAGGAAGCUUGCUUCUUUCUAGGUUAGUGGCGGACGGGCGAGUAACGCGUGAGCAACCUGCCUUUCAGAGGGGGACAACGGCUGGAAACGGCCGCUAAUACCGCAUAACAUAGCGAGAUCGCAUGGUCUUGCUAUCAAAGGAGCAAUCCGCUGAAAGAUGGGCUCGCGUCCGAUUAGCUAGAUGGUGUGGUAAUGGCGCACCAUGGCAUCGAUCGGUAGCCGAACUGGGAGGUUGAUCGGCCGCAUUGGGACUGAGACACGGCCCAGACUCCUACGGGAGGCAGCAGUGGGGGAUAUUGGUCAAUGGGGGAAACCCUGAACCAGCAAUGCCGCGUGAGGGAAGACGGUCUUCGGAUUGUAAACCUAAGUUGUCGGGGACGAAGAAAUGACGGUACCCGAAGAGAAAGCUCCGGCUAACUACGUGCCAGCAGCCGCGGUAAUACGUAGGGAGCGAGCGUUGUCCGGAUUUACUGGGUGUAAAGGGUGCGUAGGCGGGGAUGCAAGUCCGUCGUGAAAUGCCGGGGCUCAACUCCGGAGCUGCGAUGGAAACUGUAUCUCUUGAGUGAAGUAGAGGCAGGCGGAAUUCCUAGUGUAGCGGUGAAAUGCGUAGAUAUUAGGAGGAACACCAGUGGCGAAGGCGGCCUGCUGGGCUUUAACUGACGCUGAGGCACGAAAGCAUGGGGAGCAAACAGGAUUAGAUACCCUGGUAGUCCAUGCCGUAAACGAUGAUUGCUAGGUGUGGGGGGACUGACCCCUUCCGUGCCGGAGUUAACACAAUAGGUAAUCCACCUGGGGAGUACGGCCGCAAGGCUGAAACUCAAAGGAAUUGACGGGGGCCCGCACAAGCAGUGGAGUAUGUGGUUUAAUUCGACGCAACGCGAAGAACCUUACCAGGUCUUGACAUCCAACUAACGAAGCAGAGAUGCAUCAGGUGCCCUUCGGGGAAAGUUGAGACAGGUGGUGCAUGGUUGUCGUCAGCUCGUGUCGUGAGAUGUUGGGUUAAGUCCCGCAACGAGCGCAACCCUUGUUAUUAGUUGCUACAUUUAGUUGAGCACUCUAAUGAGACUGCCGUUGACAAAACGGAGGAAGGUGGGGACGACGUCAAAUCAUCAUGCCCCUUAUGACCUGGGCUACACACGUACUACAAUGGCCGCCAACAAAGG
rnacentral:rRNA from 1 species